rnacentral:rRNA from 1 species
UACAGAGGGGGCAAGCGUUAUUCGGUAUUAUUGGGCGUAAAGGGCGCGUAGGCGGUUCUUCAAGUCUCUCGUGAAAUCCCUCGGCUUAACUGAGGACGUGCGGGAGAUACUGAAGGGCUUGAGUCCGGAAGAGGGUGGUGGAAUUCCCAGUGUAGCGGUGAAAUGCGUAGAUAUUGGGAGGAACACCGGUGGCGAAGGCGGCCACCUGGGCCGGAACUGACGCUGAGGCGCGAAAGCGUGGGGAGCAAACGGG